UUCAAAUAUUUUUGGUCCUAAAUUUGUUUUAAAAUUUGUUAAACGGUUUUUGUUUAAAUUGUUAUCAGUGAUUUGAAGAAAACCCAUUUGUAAAUUAGUUUGUUUUCAUAUUUUGGGUAUGGAAAAUAACUAAAUAUUGAGAAGACCCCCUACAUCUGAUUCGAUAAAAACAGAAACCGUAAAUGCAAUGCCUUCUACGUGUAUCUGAUGUUUCCACAUAUUUUUUUUGUUAAAUUGUCAACCCAAACCCAAACCGAUCUGGAGUAAUUAGGUGUCAACUGUUAUUAAUCAUUUUGUUAUACAUAAAUUUAGAGUUUACACCCGUUUUGAUGAGAAGUAAAUCGCCCCAAUCCCAGUAAAAAUGGAAAUUUGUGAACUUUGUAGCAAAGUUUUCCACAUAGGAAAAUUGGCUAAACAUAAACUGAUUUGUUCCAAAUUGUCUACUGAAUCCCGUAAAUUGUUUGUUCCAUCAGCUCGUCUUACUGCCAGCGAAAGUCUGCAAUCUAUACCCAGCAUGAUGUCGAUACCAGUGAAUACUGGGUCUAGAAUUAGUAAGAGUACUACUGAAAUUAAUCUAGCGCGUGAAAAAUUAUAAAAUACUAAAUCGCGCUGAUUUUCACCCGGGAUCCAUAUGAGAAAGUUCAAAAUUACCAGAACAAUAAUUUUUUUUAUUAAAUAACUGAAAACAACAUUCAAGUGGUUUUGUUGUCCUUUCUUGUCUUAGUUUGAAUUUCUUAGAUUUUAAUUUGAGAAAAAUUUAUGGAAAUUUUCCACAUACACCAAAACUACAAAACCGUCAUUAGAUUUUGUUCUCUUACGAACUAGGGUCUCUGGAAUUGGUGGUCAAUGGGAAAAAAAAUUAAUGUUUAUAAAAAAAUUUUACAUAAACUUUUUGAAACAAAAUUUAUUUUA